CUCUGUGACUCCUACGGGAGGCAGCAGUGGGGGAAUAUUGCACAAUGGGCCGCAAGCCUGAUGCAGCCAUGCCGCGUGUGUGAAGAAGGCCUUCGGGUUGUAAAAGUCACUUUCAGUCGUGAGGAAGGUAGUGUAGUUAAUAGCUGCAUUACUUUGACGUUAGCGACAGAAGAAGCACCGGCUAACUCCGUGCCAGCAGCCGCGGUAAUACGGAGGGUGCGAGCGUUAAUCGGAAUUACUGGGCGUAAAGCGCAUGCAGGUGGUUUGUUAAGUCAGAUGUGAAAGCCCGGGGCUCAACCUCGGAAUUGCAUUUGAAACUGGCAGACUAGAGUACUGUAGAGGGGGUAGAAUUUCAGGUGUAGCGGUGAAAUGCGUAGAGAUCUGAAGGAAUACCGGUGGCGAAGGCGGCCCCCUGGACAGAUACUGACACUCAGACUGCGAAAGCGUGGGGAGCAAACAGGAUUAGAUACCCUGGUAG
rnacentral:rRNA from 1 species